GUUUGGUCCCCCCGCGGCAAUUCGCUGUAAACUCCGCCAGGCCCGGAAGGGAGCAACGGUAGCAGUAUAAUUGGGCGCCGGGGUGUGGCUGGGCUGG
rnacentral:SRP_RNA from 1 species